rnacentral:rRNA from 1 species
CAGUCGCCACGGUAAUACAGAGGGUGCGAGCGUUAAUCGGAUUUACUGGGCGUAAAGCGUGCGUAGGCGGCUUCUUAAGUCGGAUGUGAAAUCCCUGAGCUUAACUUAGGAAUUGCAUUUGAUACUGGGAAGCUAGAGUAUGGGAGAGGAUGGUAGAAUUCCAGGUGUAGCGGUGAAAUGCGUAGAGAUCUGGAGGAAUACCGAUGGCGAAGGCAGCCAUCUGGCCUAAUACUGACGCUGAGGUACGAAAGCAUGGGGAGCAAACAGGAUUAGAUACCCCUGUAGUCCCUGUCUCUUAUAC